rnacentral:rRNA from 1 species
ACUUCAGAUGUUUUAUCCCAACAUCGACUUUAGAUAGUUUGUAUGGGCGUUGGCCUUCAAAAAAGGUAAUGGAGGCAUACAAAAGUUUUUUCAGACCAGACAGAAUGGGCCUCGAGUGCGAAGGCAAAAUGGAGUCUAAUUACAAGACACAUCCGUCGAGCAGGGACGAAAGUCAACCUUAGUGAUCCAACGGUGCUGAGUGGAAGGACCGUUGCUCAACGGAGA